rnacentral:rRNA from 1 species
AGCCAGCACCUCAAGUGGUCAGGAUGAUUAUUGGGCCUAAAGCAUCCGUAGCCGGCUCUGUAAGUUUUCGGUCAAAUCCAUGUGCUCAACGCAUGGGCUGCCGAAAAUACUGCAGUGCUAGGAAGUGGGAGAGGUAGACGGUACUUGAUAGGAAGGGGUAAAAUCCUUUGAUCUAUCGAUGACCACCUGUGGCGAAGGCGCCACACUAGAGCGGAUCCGACGGUCAGGGGCGAAGCCUAGGGGCACGAACCGG